GAUGAAGAACGUAGCAAAAUGCGAUAAGUAAUGUGAAUUGCAGAAUUCAGUGAAUCAUCGAAUCUUUGAACGCACAUUGCGCCCGCCAGUAUUCUGGCGGGCAUGCCUGUUCGAGCGUCAUUUCAACCCUCAAGCACAGCUUGGUGUUGGGACUCGCGUUAAUUCGCGUUCCCCAAAUUGAUUGGCGGUCACGUCGAGCUUCCAUAGCGUAGUAGUAAAACCCUCGUUACUGGUAAUCGUCGCGGCCACGCCGUUAAACCCCAACUUCUGAAUGUGUACCUCGGAUCAGGUAGGAAUACCCGCUGAACUUAAGCAUAUCAAUAAGCGGAGGA
rnacentral:misc_RNA from 1 species